UACGUAGGGGGCUAGCGUUGUCCGGAAUCAUUGGGCGUAAAGCGCGUGUAGGCGGCCCGGUAAGUCCGCUGUGAAAGUCGGGGGCUCAACCCUCGGAAGCCGGUGGAUACUGUCGGGCUCGAGUACGGAAGAGGCGAGUGGAAUUCCUGGUGUAGCGGUGAAAUGCGCAGAUAUCAGGAGGAACACCUAUUGCGAAGGCAGCUCGCUGGGUCGUUACUGACGCUGAGACGCGAAAGCGUGGGGAGCAAACAGG
rnacentral:rRNA from 1 species